CCCUUAGAUGUUCUGGGCCGCACGCGCGCUACACUGACGAUGGCAACGAGUUUUUCCUUCGCCGAAAGGUGUGGGUAAUCUUUUGAAACAUCGUCGUGCUGGGGAUAGAUCAUUGCAAUUUUUGAUCUUGAACGAGGAAUUCCUAGUAAGCGCGAGUCAUCAGCUCGCGUUGAUUACGUCCCUGCCCUUUGUACACACCGCCCGUCGCUACUACCGAUUGAAUGGUUUAGUGAGGACUCCUGAUUGGCGCCGCCGCCCCGGCAACGGUGCAGCGGACUGCCGAAAAGUUGUUCAAACUUGAUCAUUUAGAGGAAGUAAAAGUCGUAACA
rnacentral:rRNA from 1 species